UGAAUUAUAUGUGUCGAUUGAUUAUAUACUAUGAGCUAUAUCUGAUUUCCAAAUUGUGGUGAAUAGUUGACUUACGAUUUUGAGAGGGGCUGGUGUAGGCAUCUGAAUCAACUGGACCAAGACCAGUUUCUUCUGCAUCGUUCUCACAUCAAUAGCAUUAGCAUUCAACCACUCCCCUGUAACAUCUAUUCAAGCACAAGUUAAACAUACUUGUUCAUUUGGGUUUUUCUUUUAAAAAUACUUUUAAGAUGUAAAAAGAUUAAAAGAAAUUUUUGAAUUUCAGAUUAAAGUUUGAAUAACUUAGUGAUUAACUAAAGGAAAUAAAAAGGUAAAAGAAAAAAUAGUACCAAUCAAUAGGGGGACAUCUUGGUAAAAUGAAGGAAAAGGGUGUUUCCUUUUCGACAGAGUUACAGAUUCAGAACCAUAUGCCCAAGCACUCAAAAGUUGAAAAACUCCAUAUAU
rnacentral:lncRNA from 1 species